rnacentral:rRNA from 1 species
UACGUAGGUGGCAAGCGUUGUCCGGAUUUACUGGGCGUAAAGAGCGCGCAGGCGGUUAUUCAAGUCGAAUGUGAAAGCCCCCGGCUUAACUGGGGAGGGUCAUUCGAUACUGUUUAACUUGAAGGCAGGAGAGGGUAGUGGAAUUCCCGGUGUAGUGGUGAAAUGCGUAGAGAUCGGGAGGAAGGCCGGUGGCGAAGGCGGCGCUCUGGAACAUUUCUGACGCUGAGGCUCGAAAGCGUGGGGAGCAAACAGG